UACAGAGGUCUCAAGCGUUUGUUCGGAUUCAUUGGGCGUAAAGGGUGCGUAGGUGGCGCUGUAAGUCGGGUGUGAAAUUUCGGAGCUUAACUCCGAAACUGCAUUCGAUACUGCGGUGCUUGAGGACUGGAGAGGAGACUGGAAUUCAUGGUGUAGCAGUGAAAUGCGUAGAGAUCAUGAGGAAGACCAGUGGCGAAGGCGGGUCUCUGGACAGUUCCUGACACUGAGACACGAAGGCCAGGGGAGCAAACGGG
rnacentral:rRNA from 1 species